rnacentral:rRNA from 1 species
GAGUGCGUAAUAGCUCACUGGUCGAGUGACUCUGCGCGGAAAAUGUAACGGGGCUAAGCGUAUAACCGAAGCUUGGGAUUGCAACUAAUGCAGUGGUAGGGGAGCGUCGCAUGCGGGGUGAAGUCAGAGCGUAAGCACUGGUGGACUACAUACGAGUGAGAAUGCCGGAAUGAGUAGCGAGAAUUAUGUGGGAAUCAUAAUGGCCGAAAAUCUAAGGUUUCUUGGGGAAGGUUCGUCCGCCCAAGGUAAGCCGGGAGCUAAGGCGAGGCCGCAAGGCGUAGUCGAUGCACAUACGGUUGAAAUUCCGUAGCCACCGAAACUUAAACUAGAAGGACACUUGGAGCUAUCUGAUCCCGGGCGUUGGUUGACCCGGGCGAAAGGGACCGAAAUUAAGUAGGGAAGUCAGAGAAUAACGAGGCGAGAAAAGUUCUAGUGAAUGCUAAGGUGCCCGUACCGCAAACCGACACAGGUAGAUGAGGAGAGAAUCCUAAGGCCAACGGGAGAAGGGUUGUUAAGGAACUCGGCAAAAUUACCCCGUAACUUCGGGAUAAGGGGAGCCUCGAAAGAGGCCGCAGAGAAUAGGCCCAAGCGACUGUUUACCAAAAACACAGGUCUAUGCUAAAUCGAAAGAUGACGUAUAUGGGCUGACGCCUGCCCGGUGCUGGAAGGUUAAGAGGAGAGCUUAGCGCAAGCGAAGGUUUGAAUUGAAGCCCCAGUAAACGGCGGCCGUAACGAUAACGGUCCUAAGGUAGCGAAAUUCCUUGUCAGGUAAGUUCUGACCCGCACGAAUGGCGUAACGAUUUGGGCGCUGUCUCAACAGCCCACCCGGCGAAAUUGUAGUACUGGUGAAGAUGCCAGUUACCCGCAACUAGACGGAAAGACCCCAUGGAGCUUUACUGUAGCUUAAUACUGAGGAUUGGUAAAUCAUGUACAGGAUAGGUGGGAGACAUGGAAACAGUGGCGUCAGCCAUUGCGGAGUCACCCUUGGGAUACCACCCUUGAUUUACUGGUUUUCUAACCUGCGGCCGUGAAUCCGGUCGGGGGACACUGUUAGGUGGGCAGUUUGACUGGGGCGGUCGCCUCCUAAAAGGUAACGGAGGCGCUCAAAGGUUCGUUCAGCACGGACAGAAAUCGUGCAUUGAGUGUAAACGCAUAAACGAGCCUAACUGCGACACCGACGGGUGGAGCAGUAACGAAAGUUGGAGUUAGUGAUCCGGCGGUAUGCAAGUGGAAGUGCCGUCGCUCAACGGAUAAAAGCUACCCUGGGGAUAACAGGCUGAUCUCCCCCAAGCGUCCACAGCGACGGGGAGGUUUGGCACCCUGAUGUCGGCUCGUCACAUCCUGGGGCUGUAUUCGGUCCCAAGGGUUCGGCUGUUCGCCGAUUAAAGUGGCACGCGAGCUGGGUUCAGAACGUCGUGAGACAGUUCGGUCCCUAUCUGUUGCGGGCGUAAGAGAUUUGAAGGGAGCUGUCCUUAGUACGAGAGGACCGGGAUGGACAGACCUCUGGUGCACCAGUUGUCCUGCCAAGGGCAUAGCUGGGUAGCUACGUCUGGACGAGAUAAACGCUGAAAGCAUCUAAGCGUGAAACUCCCCCUAAGAUUAGAUCUCUCAUCCUUUAUGGAGUAAGGCUCGACGUAGACUAUGUCGUUGAUAGGUCGGAGGUGGAAGUGCUGUAAGGCAUGCAGCCGACCGAUACUAAUAAGCCGAGGGUUUGAUC